rnacentral:lncRNA from 1 species
AUGGCCAUCAUCCUGGUCCAGGAGCAAGAUCUUCCAAAGACUAGCAGCACACUGGGGUGGUAUGACAUUCUUCAACUUAGAGUCCAUCAGAAGAAAAACAGAAGGAGCAAAUCGUUAGCAGUUCCAUCUAAGGGAUAUUUGGUCUGGAGGAUGAGGGCUCAGAGGAUAAAACAACAUCUGAGAAGUGCGCAGGGACAUGAAUAUCUCCCUCAUGGAGACCUUAGUGCUAUGCUGGGCUGUUGCUUGUCCGCAGCAUUUCUUCAGUGUGUAAGAUGCCUGAGAAGAGGCGUCUGGAAGAGAAGGGUUUCUGAAUAAAAAUGGGUCACAGAUUUAGUGGAAGAUCAUUGAAGAGGAUGUAAAACAUCUGCUGAAAUCUAUUUCUGUAUCAUCAAUGAUACAAAUAUAUUUAAAAAAAUCUACUUUUAAGUGUUUCCUGCAAAUUAUCGAAUAAAACAGAAAAAAAAAUCUCA